rnacentral:tRNA from 2 species
GCGCCCGUAGCUCAGUUGGAUAGAGCAACGGCCUUCUAAGCCGUGGGUCGCAGGUUCGAAUCCUGCCGGGCGCACCA